CCUACGGGAGGCAGCAGCAAGGAAUCUUCCGCAAUGGGGGCAACCCUGACGGAGCAACGCCGCGUGGGGGAUGACGCCCUUCGGGGUGUAAACCCCUUUUCUUCGGGAAGAAGUUCUGACGGUACCGGAGGAAGAAGGACCGGCUAACUACGUGCCAGCAGCCGCGGUAAUACGUAGGGUCCGAGCGUUGUCCGGAGUUACUGGGCGUAAAGCGCGCGCAGGCGGCGGUGCUGGCCCGGCGUGAAAGCCCCCGGCUCAACCGGGGAGGGUCGUCGGGGACCGCACCGCUUGAGGGCGGUAGGGGCUGGUGGAAUGCCUGGUGUAGUGGUGAAAUGCGUAGAGAUCAGGCGGAACACCCGUGGCGAAGGCGGCCAGCUGGGCCGUCCCUGACGCUGAGGCGCGAAGGCGUGGGGAGCGAACGGGAUUAGAUACCCCGGUAGUCCACGCAGUAAACGAUGCAGACUAGGCGUGGGGGGAGUUGACCCCCUCCGUGCCGGAGCCAACGCGGGAAGUCUGCCGCCUGGGGAGUACGGCCGCAAGGCUAAAACUCAAAGGAAUUGACGGGGGCCCGCACGAGCGGCGGAGCGUGCGGUUUAAUUCGACGCGACGCGUAGAACCUUACCAAGGCUUGACAUGCGCCUGCAUCCUCCUGAAAGGGAAUGGCCUUCGAGGGUGGCGCCACAGGUGCUGCAUGGCUGUCGUCAGCUCGUGCCGUG
rnacentral:rRNA from 1 species